rnacentral:lncRNA from 1 species
UUACCUCAGCCAACCCCAUUCACAGUGUGCUGUGUGGGAGUCAGGUUCCCUGCCACCAGCUUCAGAACACUUCCUUUCCUUAGGACAGUCUAUGAGGAGAGAAUCAGGUAGAAUUAGGCUCUUUCUAAUUUCAUCAGGAGGGACAAUAGAGUUAGUGCCCUUCUGCUGGAGCAGUCAUAGCCAGAGGAAGUUCUUUAUUUCUUUUUUUUUUUUUUUUCAGAGCUUCGAAAUGUUUUCACGACGAGAUUGGGUAGUAAAGCCCUGUUAGGACAAAUUCUAUUACCGAGAAGUGUUCAGUUCUAAUAGAGAGAUUUCCAUGUGAGCAGUCAGCCUAUGGAGUGGGCUCUAUUAAAGGGGUCAGAGGCUAACUCCGACCUGUGUUAUCCCCUCCCCCCCCAGCCCCUGGCUUCAAAGUGACCUUUCGUGGAGAGGCACGCGCGCGUGUGUGUGUGUGUGUGUGUGUGCGUGUGUGUGUGUGUGUGUGUAGAUGCAGGUAGGUGGGAGGGGCUCAGGAACAGAGGCUUUAGGUGAGAGGAUGAAUGGAUGGAUGCAGAACAGACAGGAAAACAGAGCAGGGGCUCGGUGCUGCCAAGCACCAGCCCCUCAGGCUAGCACCGGAGAGCCGUGCAGAGCCUGUACUGUAAGAUAGUGUUCUUCGGGCUGCGCUCUCAGAAGCCAUUUGAUCGAUCCAGCAGGUAAUGGCCUCUAGCUUCG